GGGAAUAUCGUCCAAUGGUAAGGACUUCACACUGUUAAUGUGAGUAUCAUAGUUCGAAUCUAUGUAUUCCCG
rnacentral:tRNA from 1 species